GCCCGGAAACGUCAUAAUGUCCGCCGGUUAAUUGUCCGGCAUCGGUUUGCAGAGCGCGGACGGCAUCUGAAAGUAAAGUGAGAUACUCUUGCUCUUCAGGCGCUUUAGUCAGCAUAAAAGAGGAUGACCAGCCACACUGGAACUGAGACACGGUCCAGACUCCUACGGGAGGCAGCAGUGGGGAAUAUUGCACAAUGGGCGCAAGCCUGAUGCAGCCAUGCCGCGUGUAUGAAGAAGGCCUUCGG
rnacentral:rRNA from 1 species